rnacentral:rRNA from 1 species
GACGAACGCUGGCGGCGUGCUUAACACAUGCAAGUCGAGCGGUAAGGCACCUUCGGGUGUACACGAGCGGCGAACGGGUGAGUAACACGUGAGCAACCUGCCCUUCUCAUCGGAAUAAGCGUUGGAAACGACGUCUAAUGCCGAAUACGACUUCGGACCGCAUGGUCUGAAGUGGAAAGCUCCGGCGGAGAAGGAUGGGCUCGCGGCCUAUCAGCUAGUUGGUGUGGGUAACGGCCCACCAAGGCGACGACGGGUUAGCCGGCCUGAGAGGGUUGACCGGCCCACACUGGGGACUGAGACACGGCCCCAGACUCCUACGGGAGGCAGCAGUGGGGAAUAUUGGACAAUGGGCGAAAGCCUGAUCCAGCAACGCCGCGUGAGGGAUGACGGCCC